CCUAGUUGUCCAUCUUCUACCUCUGCCAUUAUUCAGUUUUUAUUGAUGCAGACAGACUGGAGAGUGCCUAGAUCUGAAGGAAACCUCAUUAAAUAUUUUCUCCAGCCCUCUGGUUGACAGUGAAGCAAGUUCAUAGUUAAAGAAAUCACACAAAAGCAGGCUUUCUCAAACAGUUAGGCUUUAAGUAUAACAGUUUUUAUGCCUUCUAUCUCUGUUUAUUCCACCUUGUCAUAAUCUUUUCCGGAUUAUCACCACAUGCUGUCUAAUUAGAAAAGUCUUCUUAGAGAAUUGUUUUAUCUUCAUUUUUCCAGGAAAAAUCCUAUGUCAUGGCCCUUCUUAAAUAAUACAGGAUUGAAAAACCAAGAGGAAGAUGAUCAAGGAGUUGCAUUGGUUUGACUCAAUCAAAUUAUUUUAGUCAGUGCGGGUACCAUUUGUGGGCAUUAUCCUAAGUCAUAAACAGCUGAAGAUAAUUCAGUCCAUUAUCUGUUGUUAAUUUAAUUUCAGAUUGUCAGUUUAGCUAAAUCAGUACAACCAGUCAGAGUAAAGAGAGUGAGUGGAUAGACACAAAUCUUGGCAUGAGGAUCAUUGUUGAGAUUCUGAAGGUAAAUAAAUGCAUAAAGAAUUAAUCUUUUCCCAUUCAGUCAAUGACGAAAGCUACACUGAUCAAAAUGGAAAGAAUGGCAGAAAAAACAACAGUGGAUUAGAACAAUUGUGCAAAGGCAGAUCUCCUUCUCAAUCAUUGGCUUUGGGAACAGCUCGUUGCCUAAAGGGCUUUGGAGGGCAGAUCCUGGGAUCAGAGGAAUCUCUUUCCAAGUGGCUGAAGAACUGGACAGAAAUCAGGGACAUGUGUGGUGAAAGGAGGACUGAGGAGGGAGGGAAGCCUUUUGUAUGUGUGUUAUUCUUUUCAUAGGGAGAAAAAAAAAAGAUGACACUAAAGGAUAAGAUGCUUGAGAAGAAAAACUAAAGCAUGGGAAUGGACAUGCUUUAGGGCAGAACAGAAAGGAGGGAGCGUAGCAAGAAGAUACGGAAGAGAACAAGACUACUGAAAGGGCAUCCAUGUAGAAAACAGUCACCCAGGACAAGAGGUAGAUUGCAUCUCAUGGAUGAGUAAAUACAGAAAUCACAGAUUUGAACAAACUGGUACAUCAUGAAUGUAGCUCUUAAUUUGUGGAAAUUUGUGGAAUAACUUUACUAGACUUCUCUGUUGGUUUUAUCUUCAACAGCUAAGAAAUUUGUGGCAUACCAGCUGAACCUUAACCAAGAGAUCUGAUUUAAAACUCAAAAUGGCUUUAAUGAAGGGAGGAGAGGGAAUACUGGGUGUAUGUGUGUGGUUCCUUAAGUGUGUAGUUGCCUGUGUUCCAUGAUUGUGUCUUGUGGUUUCAUUACAGAGCGCUAAAGUAUGAUCCAGUAGAGGAGGUAGAUCAAGAAGAGUUUAAGGCUUUUCUAGAUAGCUUAACUCUUUCUUAAAGGUGGUCACUUACUGUGUAGAAACCUUCAGAGCUUGCAUUCCACUGGUGAAGGGAGAAUGUUAAUAGCCAGACUACUAAGUUUCAGAUUUAACAGCAGUUUUGCCUCUGUUAGUUCCUUUAAACUUUGGCCAUUCAGUCCUCUGCUGUAGAUGUUACUGGGAGAUCCAAGCUCAAACAGAAAUACCUGGGCUGUGAAGCUGUGCUGGCCAGUGCACCAAGGCUACAACAGAGAAACAAACUCACUCUCUCUCUUUUUUUAUUUUUUUCUUUUCAGU
ensembl:lncRNA